UUAGGAGUCUGUGCCUGUGCUGUUCACAGAGUCAAGCUGGAUAGACCAGGGUCACCAAUGUCCAGCUGUGUGUCCAUAAAGAGUGACGGUUCAAUGAAUCAACCAAUAGAUUUCAGAGAAGGACCCAUCGCCUCUGACCGCAGAUCUGCUGGGCAUGGAAAUGUGUUCUGUGAUUUCUGCACUGACAAGAAGAUACGAGCUGUGAAAUACUGCCAUGUCUGCUCAGCAUCUUAUUGUGAGACACAUGUUCGACAGCACUACACAGUCCCAGCCCUGCAGGAGAAGAACAGACCAGCACUCAGUUCCUGACUGCAUGGCAUUUCCUGGCCCCCACCCUGGAGCCUUGGACUCUUCUCGGCUGGCCUCCUUCCCUUGCGGUUCUGAACCGCUUCCAGGAGGCAUCUUCUGUUGUCCAGGACAUCAGGGCCUCUCCCCGUGCAGCCUCAUCCUGUUUUAUUCCCUAAGAGCCCUGCUCUGGCACUUUAGGUUUUUCUUUUCUCUGUCCUCUUUCCUGCCGCCUUUCUGGCUCUUUUUCUUCUUCACCCUUUUCUCUCAGGCUGUCGGGGUACUUUUCUCUUUCCAGUCUCCUUCCUGCCAGGCAUCCUGUGUCCGCUCUGUCUGGAGAGCAUUUCCCUGUUAGCCUGGCCUCCCUGUAGAUUCCUGUUCCCGAGCUCUGACUGAGACUGCAUCUUGCAGCUGUGUUGUCCCAGGGCUCAUCACAACUGCCAAAUUGUAAAGAUAUGCUAAGAAUAUACCUGAGUGUUAACAUAGUUAGAGACACCUGACCAAUCAGAAAAACCCCAGACUAAGUAUUGAACUGCUAUAUAACACCUACACAGAGCAACAAGAGAGAUAGACCUUCCUUCUGCACCAAAG